CAAAUACUCUCCCUCCGUCCGGAAAUACUUAUCGUAAAAAUGGAUACAAAUAGAUGUAUCUAUAACUAAAAUACAUCUAGAUACAUCCAUCCCUCGGACAAGUAUUUCCGGACGAAGGGAGUAGUAC
rfam:Triticum aestivum genome assembly, contig: Triticum_aestivum_CS42_TGACv1_scaffold_112333_2AS